rnacentral:rRNA from 1 species
GAACGCUAGCGGCAGGCUUAACACAUGCAAGUCGAGGGGUAACAUUGUAGCUUGCUACAGAUGACGACCGGCGCACGGGUGCGUAACGCGUAUAGAACCUACCUUUUACUGGAGAAUAGCCUUUAGAAAUGAAGAUUAAUGCUCCAUGGUAUUGAUUAAUCGCAUGAUUAGUUAAUUAAAGAUUUAUUGGUAAAAGAUGGCUAUGCGUCCUAUUAGUUAGAUGGUAAGGUAACGGCUUACCAUGACAUCGAUAGGUAGGGGUCCUGAGAGGGAGAUCCCCCACACUGGUACUGAGACACGGACCAGACUCCUACGGGAGGCAGCAGUGAGGAAUAUUGGGCAAUGGAGGCAACUCUGACCCAGCCAUGCCGCGUGCAGGAAGACGGCCCUAUGGGUUGUAAACUGCUUUUAUACAGGAAGAAACACUGGUAUGUAUACCAGCUUGACGGUACUGUAAGAAUAAGGACCGGCUAACUCCGUGCCAGCAGCCGCGGUAAUACGGAGGGUCCGAGCGUUAUCCGGAAUCAUUGGGUUUAAAGGGUCCGCAGGCGGUCAAUUAAGUCAGAGGUGAAAUCCCAUAGCUCAACUAUGGAACUGCCUUUGAUACUGGUUGACUUGAGUCAUAUGGAAGUAGAUAGAAUGUGUAGUGUAGCGGUGAAAUGCAUAGAUAUUACACAGAAUACCGAUUGCGAAGGCAGUCUACUACGUAUGUACUGACGCUGAGGGACGAAAGCGUGGGGAGCGAACAGGAUUAGAUACCCUGGUAGUCCACGCCGUAAACGAUGGAUACUAGUUGUUGGGCAUUAGCUCAGUGACUAAGCGAAAGUGAUAA